rnacentral:RNase_P_RNA from 1 species
CCAGACGGCCGGACGGCUGCCUUUUGCUGUGGGAAACCUGCAAGGGGAGGAAAGUCCGGGCUCCACGGGAACACGGUGCCGGAUAACGUCCGGCGGGCGCGAGCCUAGGGAAAGUGCCACAGAAAGCAAACCGCCCGGUCUCCGGACCGGGUAAGGGUGAAAGGGUGCGGUAAGAGCGCACCGCGUCCCUGGCGACAGGGAUGGCAGGGUAAACCCCACCGGGAGCAAAACCGAAUAGGAAGGGCCGAUGGCUUCGGACCAUGGGUGCGUUCCCGCAUCGUCCUUCGGGUAGGUUGCGCGAGGCGUCCGGCAACGGGCGUCCCAGAUGAAUGGCCGUACUAGACAGAACCCGGCUUACAGGCCGUCUGGUCCC